rnacentral:rRNA from 1 species
GAUGAACGCUGGCGGCGUGCCUAAUACAUGCAAGUCGAGCGAACAGACGAGGAGCUUGCUCCUCUGACGUUAGCGGCGGACGGGUGAGUAACACGUGGAUAACCUACCUAUAAGACUGGGAUAACUUCGGGAAACCGGAGCUAAUACCGGAUAAUAUAUUGAACCGCAUGGUUCAAUAGUGAAAGACGGUUUUGCUGUCACUUAUAGAUGGAUCCGCGCCGCAUUAGCUAGUUGGUAAGGUAACGGCUUACCAAGGCAACGAUGCGUAGCCGACCUGAGAGGGUGAUCGGCCGCACUGGAACUGAGACACGGUCCAGACUCCUACGGUAGGCAGCAGUAGGGAAUCGUCCGCAAUGGGCGAAAGCUUGACGGAGCAACGCCGCGUGAGUGAUGAAGGUCUUCGGAUCGUAAAACUCUGUUAUUAGGGAAGAACAAAUGUGUAAGUAACUAUGCACGUCUUGACGGUACCUAAUCAGAAAGCCACGGCUAACUACGUG